UCGCAAUCACGGUUAACUAUGCCGUCACGCUGCUAUUUGUUGUUGUAUCGUCGAUGGCUGGGUCGACCACUGGUGUACCGACGUCUCCUGGAUAAGGCGGAUACCAAACCGCAACGCCACCGCCUUCUACACAACAACAUACGCAACGACCAGUUACUACACCGAGGUCCCUAAGUAUUGCACCAAGGCUUCAGAUUAUUACAUCACAACUUAUGCUGUCCUGAGCUAAUACAACGAAUCCCCGCAGUAUUAUUUUUCUUCCCCGAGCUACACUACCAAAGGGUCGAUUACUACACCGAGGCUCCGAAGUACUACACCAUCAAGGCACCGUAGUACUAUAACCACCACUUAUCAUGGUAUGAGAGGAGAGAAAGGUGAAAUAAUUCAGCAGCCGAGUGAGCAUCUCCGUUACAGCAACAGUAACUGCGUGCUCUAUUUGUCAUCAACUUCAUUCUUCGUAAAGUGAACUAUGGCGUCGUGCUGCUGUUGGGUGUCGUAUCGUUGAUUGCUGGAUCGACCAAUGGUGUGCUGCUUUCUCCUGGGUUUGGCGGGCUUCAACAACAACAUACGCAACAACCGGAUACUACACUGAGGCCCCCAAGUGCUACUCCACAAAGGCUCCAGAGUAUAACACCGUAACUUAUGCCACCCAGUUUAUGUUGGCCCGAGCUACUACGCAGAAUCUCCGAAGUAUUUUUCUUCCCCUAACUUCACAACCUUCACUACGCCGCCUCUUUACUAAACAACAACGUCAACACCAACAUACUAACGAAGGCAGCGGAGUACUACACCACGAAGGCAGCGGAGUACUACACCACGAAGGCAGCGGAGUACUACACCACGAAGGCAGCGGAGUACUACACCACGAAGGC